rnacentral:rRNA from 1 species
GAUGAACGCUGGCGGCGUGCCUAAUACAUGCAAGUCGAACGCAUUGUGGUUGAAAUGAUAUGAAGAACUUGUUCAGAUUUGAUUUUCAACAUUGCAAUGAGUGGCGAACGGGUGAGUAACACGUGGGAAACCUACCUCUUAGCAGGGGAUAACAUUUGGAAACAAAUGCUAAUACCGUAUAAUAAUUAAAACCGCAUGGUUUUAGUUUAAAAGAUGGUCUUGCUAUCACUAAGAGAUGGUCCCGCGGUGUAUUAGUUAGUUGGUGAGGUAAUGGCUCACCAAGACAAUGAUACAUAGCCGAGUUGAGAGACUGACCGGCCACAAUGGGACUUGAGACACGGCCCAUACUCCUACGGGAGGCAGCAGUAGGGAAUCUUCCACAAUGGACGAAAGUCUGAUGGAGCAACGCCGCGUGUGCGAUGAAGGGUUUCGGCUCGUAAAACACUGUUGUAAGAGAAGAAUGACAUUGAGAGUAACUGUUCAAUGUGUGACGGUAU